rnacentral:ncRNA from 4 species
UACGUAGGGUGCGAGCGUUGUCCGGAAUUAUUGGGCGUAAAGAGCUCGUAGGCGGUUUGUUGCGUCGGCUGUGAAAACUUCACGCUUAACGUGGAGCCUGCAGUCGAUACGGGCAGACUUGAGUUCGGCAGGGGAGACUGGAAUUCCUGGUGUAGCGGUGAAAUGCGCAGAUAUCAGGAGGAACACCGGUGGCGAAGGCGGGUCUCUGGGCCGAUACUGACGCUGAGGAGCGAAAGCGUGGGGAGCGAACAGG